rnacentral:rRNA from 1 species
GUAAACCCAAGGUUUCCAGGGGAAGGUUCGUCCGCCCUGGGUUAGUCGGGACCUAAGCUGAGGCCGAAAGGCGUAGGUGAUGGACAACAGGUUGAUAUUCCUGUACUACCGAUAACCGUUUGAGAGAUGGGAUGACACAGUAGGAUAAGCUAAGCACACUGUUGGUUAUGUGUGCCCAAGCAUUGAGGCAGUCAAAGUAGGCAAAUCCGCUUUGAUAAUGCUGGGAUGUGAUGGGGAGCGAAAUUUAGUAGCGAAGUAGCUGAUUUCACACUGUCAAGAAAAGUCUCUAUCGAGGUUAAAGGUACCCGUACCGCAAACCGACACAGGUGGGUGAGGAGAGUAUCCUAAGGCCAGCGAGAGAACUGUUGUUAAGGAACUCGGCAAAAUGACCCCGUAACUUAGGGAUAAGGGGUGCCACCAUCAGGUGGCCGCAGAGAAUAGGCCCAAGCGACUGUUUACCAAAAACAUAGGUUUCUGCUAAGUCGCAAGACGAUGUAUAGGAGCUGACGCCUGCCCGGUGCUGGAAGGUUAAGGGGAUCUGUUAGAG